rnacentral:ribozyme from 12 species
CACUUCAACAAAAAAAAAAAAAGAAAGAAAAAAGAAAAAAGUGAAAAUAAAAAAAAAAUUAAAAUAUUUG